CAUUUCACACAAGGGUGAGAGUUUUCUUGUGAGAAUGAUAGCUGCAUCUUAGGUGGAAAUGUGGAGCUGUGUUGCUGUGCAGGAGGGUCGGUAUGGAAGCCGAGCAGUCAAAAUGAUAGAAGUUAAUGGUUAUCCAUGAUCGCCCUUAUGCUGCAGAGUCAGUCACUCCUUCUUGGCUGCUUGGUGAAAAUGGAACUGGGCCCUUUAAAUUUCUCCUCAGCCAGCAUCAAGCUGGUUUGACCACUAGAGGGCGCAGCAUGCAGGUUGUCGGGAGCUCCGCACGUGGGACGCUGGCACGCUGGAGCUCCGUGUCCUCACUCCUCAGCCAGUUUGGCAGUGACCCUCUCAGGAGCCGCUACGAGGGACCUUACUGGCAGAUUUCCAAGCCUUUUCUCCUCCCUCCCUUCCUCUCUGCAAGGAGCUAGAACAAAGCUGGCAAAAUUGGAGUCAGCAGAAAAAUCUAAUUUUCACCUUGGACACGUUGUAGCUGACAGAUACUAACCCGGCUCCUGGAUGCACCUUCCAGACAGGUCUGUGCGGCUUCCUUCCUGGAUAUCGGGAGGCAAGCUCUGUCACGGACACAGUGUCCUGUGUAGGUGGGAGUCUCCAGGCCUCUGUGGGCCUCAGCCUUCCCUCCAGUCCAGGUGUGUGGCGGGGUCCAGGACUCACCUAUUCUUGAGGCCUGGAAGAAGGCAGAGGUGGGAGACAGGGCAGGUUCUGGGUGUGGUGCAGGGUGUGGGGACACAGGAGCUCUGCUUGUAGGGUCAGUCCUGCCUGGGG
rnacentral:lncRNA from 1 species